AGAGUUUGAUCCUGGCUCAGAACGAACGCUGGCGGCAUGGCUAAGACAUGCAAGUCGAACGGGCUAUAUUAACGGGUAACUGUGCGUAUAGCUAGUGGCGAAAGGGUGAGGAACAGAUAGGUAACGUACCCCGCACUUCGGAAUAGCGCCCUGAAAGGGGCAUUAAUACCGGAUGAUGUCAUGAACUUAAUUGUUUAUGAUCAAAGAUUUAUCGGUGUGGGAGCGGCCUACCUCCUAUCAGCUUGUUGGUGAGGUAACGGCUCACCAAGGCAACGACGGGUAGCGGGACUGAGAGGUUGACCCGCCACAUCGGGACUGAGACACUGCCCGGACCUCCACGGAGGGCUGCAGUAACGAAUAUUGGGCAAUGGGCGAAAGCCUGACCCAGCAAUGCCGCGUGCAGGAUGAAGCCCCUCGGGGUGUAAACUGCUGUCAGGUGGAAAAAAGCCGGUUUCGGCCGGUUGAUUGAUACCAAAGGAAGCCACGGCUAACUUCGUGCCAGCAGCCGCGGUAAGACGAAGGUGGCGAGCGUUGUUCGGAAUCACUGGGCUUAAAGCGCGCGUAGGCGGAAUAUCAAGCGUUUUGUGAAAUCCCCCGGCUCAACCGGGGAAUUGCUUGACGAACUGAUAUUCUUGAGGCAAGUAGGGGUGUGUGGAACUCUUGGUGGAGCGGUGGAAUGCGUAGAUAUCAAGAGGAACGCCGGAGGUGAAGACGGCACACUGGGCUUGUCCUGACGCUGAGGUGCGAAAGCGUGGGUAGCGAACGGGAUUAGAUACCCCGGUAGUCCACGCCGUAAACGAUGUCUACUAGGUUGCGGAAGUUUCUGACACUGUCGCGACCGAAGCAAAAGUGAUAAGUAGACCGCCUGGGGAGUACGGUCGCAAGAUUAAAACUCAAAGGAAUUGACGGGGGCUCACACAAGCGGUGGAGCAUGUGGAUUAAUUCGAAGCAACGCGCAGAACCUUACCUGGGUUUGACAUGCUUGGAUGCCUUCCUGGAAACAGGAUUUGGCUGCCUUCGGGUGAAACUUGCACAGGUGCUGCAUGGCUGUCGUCAGCUCGUGUCGUGAGAUGUCGGGUUAAGUCCUUUAACGAGCGAAACCCUUGUCGCUAGUUGCCAGCGAGUCAAGUCGGGGACUCUAGCGAGACUGCCGGUGUCAAACCGGAGGAAGGUGGGGAUGACGUCAAGUCCUCAUGGCCUUUAUGCCCAGGGCUUCACACGUGCUACAAUGGCGACUACAGAGCGAAGCGAUACCGCGAGGUGGAGCAAAUCGCACAAAAGUCGCCUCAGUUCGGAUUGUAGGCUGACAACUCGCCUACAUGAAGUUGGAAUCGCUAGUAAUCGCGUAUCAGCAAUGACGCGGUGAAUGUGUUCCUGAGCCUUGUACACACCGCCCGUCAAGUGAUGGAAGUCGGGAGUACCCGAAGUCGGGUUUGCUAACCUUUUGGAAGCGCCUGCCGACGGUAAGCUCGAUGACUGGCACUAAGUCGUAACAAGGUAACC
rnacentral:rRNA from 1 species